AGCCAUCGCCACACUCAAUACUAAAUAAUCAAUACUGUCGUGACGCACUUUACAUUUUACAAUUUUACUGACCCCCAAAAAAUACUAAAAUGGGCAACUCUUUGUCUUUUAUCGAGUCCGAAAAACUGACCUGGAUCGACCACGUCAUAACGUUUGACGAAACCGUUCGCCAAGCCAACCUGACCACGUUGCAGUCCUCCUUCCUCCCCGGAUCCGCCAUCCUGCUCGCCUAUCAAGACCGCAAAUUCAACUCGGUCCCUUACCAACACUGGUUUAUCACGGAUGGUCAAUAUUUCCUCGAGUUUGGGUCACCUUCCGACCUGUACAAUGCUCGCGUCCAGAUCAACACCGUUCCUCGAUCCCCCUUCCAAAUCGAGACGCAGGGCAGCGUCGACGACUCCACGAGAGACAGAAUCUUCCAAGUCUUAGGAAUGUGUAAUUACUCCCUAUGCAUCAGAAAUUGUGAGCACGUGGCCAACUAUAUUUUCCGUGGGAGGUGGGUGUCCUUUCAAAUGGAGGAGGGCGGCGUACUCAAGAAUACUUUUAGACGGUUCAUUGUUGACGAUAACUUGCGGAAAGUGAACGCUUUUCCGUCCACGAUCCGACCGGACGUGUUUUCCGAGGGGAAGGGAAAGAGGAUGUAUUCCUUCAUUUCUAAUCACUACAACGCGACGCAGUUCAACUACUUCCUCGACCAUAACGAAGACACCUACAACAUUCUCGUCAUCGGUCCCACCGGUGCGGGGAAGAGUCAUCUCAUCAACAUUUUCUUCAACCAGCCCGUCACCGCCUCCUUCGUGAGCCACAAGUCCGUCACGAAGGAAAUGUGCUUCAUCAAAGGGACCGGAUCCGUCUUUAAUUUGAAAACGAGACGUUACGAGGAUAAGAAGAUCGUCGUGGCGGACACGGUCGGCCUCUGCGACACGGAAUGGGACGAUGCCAAAAUAGUCAGCAUGAUCAAGGGCCGAGUGUCGUCAAACUUUCGAUACAUCGACGCCGUCUUUGUCGUCUUCCGGGCGGAUCGGUUGCUCAAAGAGCACGUAAAAAACAUACGGAUUAUUAUGGAGUGGUUAGGCUACUCGAGGAGGAAUCAGCACUUAAAGUUCCUUUUUGUGGGGACAUUUGCCGAGAAUUUGACGGAGGUGGACGUCGAGCGGUUGAGGGGCGAGGCGGUCGAGAUUUUGGGGUUAAAGGUGACCAAGAGAGACGUGCCAGAUGCGAGAAUAGGCAGCGACGAUGAGAACGAUGCAGCCCAAGAGGAAGCCAACAACAAUGCCGUCUGCCCCCGACUCACGACGUAUGAUUCCCUCGUUUACACAGGAUUCCCACCCGAAGUGACGCUAAACGAUUUGGGGCGACGUCGCGUGGAGCGGAGUUGGGACCUUUUACAGCCGCUCCUCCUUCUCCACCCGGGCGAAGCUUUACAAGCCUACUCGCUCAUUGUGGAGGGGGAUGCACCGGCAAGAAUUGGCAUUCCAAAUUGGUGGAACAAGUGUGCCAUUUUGUAUUUUUCUAUACCUCAAACAAAUUUGUGUCACGCACAAAUCUUGACCUUGAAGAUUUGAACGGAGCAGGCUGUGCUUUCCUUUUCCUCCAAUAAUCACUGCUCCCACUCGGCUACAUUGAUUUGUAAAAUUUUUUACAAAAAUUAGUGGACCACCUAAACCAAACCGUGUACCUACUUUCACCAGGAGAAAGAGGUAAAUACCCACAUAUGCACUCGCCACUCAUCGAGUAGUAGCACUGUCG